CUCUCUCCCACCUCACAAAAAUGCUGCGGAGAGCUCCCUACUGCCUCCCGUCUGAGGAGCCGCUCCACCUCUGUCUGUGGCCACCGGCACGUGGCGUGGAAGAUAGCGCCCAAUUUUGGUCCGCCAGUAGCCGCCGCUAUUGCGGUUCGUCCGAGUGUAGCUGCGGAGGGAACACCGUCGAGCGGAGCUGCUGCGGGAGAGGGAGACGUCGCCGAGCCCGCCCCUGAACAGCGCCAGCACGCCGCCACCCGCUGCCGACGACCGCCGGCUACGGGCUAGUAAGAUCUCACAGGCGUGCUUGUCGAUGAAUUGAUGUCCUUCAGCAGCCAGUAGGAGCAGUACGCUGCCAUGCUCCCGUCCUGUUCACGGAGACGUUUAAUCAGCUUUUCUAGCCGACAUCGCUUGCUCAAGUUAAUCAGCUUUUCUAGCCGACAUCGCUUGCUCAAGUUAAUCCUUGACUCCUUGUAUGCUUAAUUCCUUGGCGUUUCCUCAAAAUAGAAAAUGAUGGAAAGAGAGAGACCAUUGAUGACCUUGGGCUGAUUAGACAUCUCCAUCUUCAUAUAAUAUUCGCUGUUACGUUUGGAUUUACUGCCACCACUUAGCCGAUUAAUUAUUCUGCUAUCUCGCCGCUGUAACCCGCUGGAGAUGGUGAUGCAACACAUGUAGCUUGGCCAUGGUGAUGAUUCAA